GACGUAGGAGGCGAGCGUUGUCCGGAUUCAUUGGGCGUAAAGAGCACGCAGGCGGUUUGGCAAGUCGGAUGUGAAACCCGGAGCUCAACUCCGGGCGUGCAUCCGAUACUGCCCGACUAGAGGUAGGUAGGGGAGAUCGGAAUUCCUGGUGUAGCGGUGAAAUGCGUAGAUAUCGGGAGGAACACCAGUGGCGAAGGCGACUACCUGGCCUGUUCUUGACGCUGAGGCGCGAAAGCUAGGGAGCAAACGGG
rnacentral:rRNA from 1 species